GGGGGGGGGGGGUGAUCGCCUCCCAGUUGCCCCCAACCCCGUGUAGGGCCCCCUGGGGUAGUGGCAGCAGCGAGAAGCGCGGGGAGCACCAGGAAGGGACGGAGCCGUCCGCUGCUCCGUGCGGAGCGGGGGGAGGCUGUCCUCUUGGCUUUGGGGUUUGUUUUCCAGUGGAUUCGGGACAAUGGCCGGAGAGUAUCGCUCGUUCCCGUGGGCAGUGCCUCCCUGUAUGGCGCGAGGAUGCAGUUGGGGGCCGAGGAACAAAGCGUAUUAAGAUAUCCACCUGCCGUCCUGGCGUCAACCACCUCCGCAUCCAUCGCCACCAUCUCGGGGAGACGCCGGCCCUCAGCCCGGCAUCAGAAAGAAGGGAAAGAGCGUUGCAUUCACACGCACGCUGCUUGAGCGUGGCAGAGCUCUCACCGUCUUCACAACAACAACAGCAACAACAACAACAAAAAAACC
ensembl:lncRNA